UACAGAGGGUGCAAGCGUUGCUCGGAUUUACUGGGCGUAAAGCGUACGCAGACGGCUUGGAAGGUCGGACGUGAAAGCCCCGGGCUCAACCCGGGAAAUGCGUCCGAAACCACCUUGCUCGAGUAUGGGAGAGGGAAGCGGAAUUCCUGGUGUAGAGGUGAAAUUCGUAGAUAUCAGGAGGAACAUCUGCGGCGAAGGCGGCUUCCUGG
rnacentral:rRNA from 1 species